AGAGUUUGAUCAUGGCUCAGAGCGAACGCUGGCGGCAGGCUUAACACAUGCAAGUCGAGCGGGCGUAGCAAUACGUCAGCGGCAGACGGGUGAGUAACGCGUGGGAACGUACCUUUUGGUUCGGAACAACACAGGGAAACUUGUGCUAAUACCGGAUAAGCCCUUACGGGGAAAGAUUUAUCGCCGAAAGAUCGGCCCGCGUCUGAUUAGCUAGUUGGUGAGGUAACGGCUCACCAAGGCGACGAUCAGUAGCUGGUCUGAGAGGAUGAUCAGCCACAUUGGGACUGAGACACGGCCCAAACUCCUACGGGAGGCAGCAGUGGGGAAUAUUGGACAAUGGGCGCAAGCCUGAUCCAGCCAUGCCGCGUGAGUGAUGAAGGCCCUAGGGUUGUAAAGCUCUUUUGUGCGGGAGGAUAAUGACGGUACCGCAAGAAUAAGCCCCGGCUAACUUCGUGCCAGCAGCCGCGGUAAUACGAAGGGGGCUAGCGUUGCUCGGAAUCACUGGGCGUAAAGGGUGCGUAGGCGGGUCUUUAAGUCAGGGGUGAAAUCCUGGAGCUCAACUCCAGAACUGCCUUUGAUACUGAGGAUCUUGAGUUCGGGAGAGGUGAGUGGAACUGCGAGUGUAGAGGUGAAAUUCGUAGAUAUUCGCAAGAACACCAGUGGCGAAGGCGGCUCACUGGCCCGAUACUGACGCUGAGGCACGAAAGCGUGGGGAGCAAACAGGAUUAGAUACCCUAGUAGUCC
rnacentral:rRNA from 1 species